rnacentral:rRNA from 1 species
CGCGUAGGCGGUUAAUUAAGUUGGAUGUGAAAUCCCUGGGCUCAACCUAGGAACUGCAUCCAAAACUGAUUGGCUAGAGUGCAGUAGAGGGUAGUGGAAUUUCCGGUGUAGCGGUGAAAUGCGUAGAUAUCGGAAGGAACACCAGUGGCGAAGGCGGCUACCUGGACUGACACUGACGCUGAGGCGCGAGAGCGUGGGGAGCAAACAG